CAAUAGCGUAUAUUAAAGUUGUUGCGGUUAAAAGCUCGUAGUUGGAUUUCUGCUGAGGACGAUCGGUCCGCCCUCUGGGUGAGCAUUGACUCGGCCUUGGCAUCUUCUUGGAGAACGCUACUGCACUUGACUGUGUGGUGCGGUAUCCAGGACUUUUACUUUGAGGAAAUUAGAGUGUUUCAAGCAGGCUCACGCCUUGAAUACAUUAGCAUGGAAUAAUAAGAUAAGGCCUUGGUUGUAUUUUGUUGGUUUCUAGAAUUGAGGUAAUGAUGAACAGGGAUACUUGGGGGCAUACGAAUUUAAUUGUCAGAGGUGAAAUUCUUGGAUUUGUUAAAGACGGACUACUGUGAAAGCAUUUGCCAAGAAUGUUUUCAUUGAUCAAGAAUGAAAGUUAGGGGGUCGAAGACGAUCAGAUACCAU
rnacentral:rRNA from 1 species